AAAUUUUUUUAGAUAUAAGACAUAUGAGUACCAUGAUGUAAAUAAAUUUAAUAAAAAAUCAUGUAAUACAAUUUCUUUUUGCAUAGAACUCAUGUGAAACAUCACUAAGGAACUUUAACAAAAAAAAACAAAAAAAAAUCACUAAGGAUAAAACUUAAUGGAUGACAAUGAAGAACAAUCCCAUCCUUGUAGCAUAAAUAAGGCACAUUCUGCAAUGAAAGCGAGAAAAAAAAAUCAACAAUGUAGCACAUUGGAUUGCAACUCAAAAUUAUCUUGUGGAAGGCCAACUUACGAUCAAAAUAGAUGCAAUAUGAGUUGCUGUCGCUUGAGCAGGCAUCUUAAUUUAAAAAAAGGCAACUCCCUUCCCCUCUCCUCCCAUGUCAAGCUCGAGUCCCUCCUCUCCACUUUCUUUGAUGUCGCUGCCAGCCUUGCCAUCCCCAUGAGGCCUACGCCUGCCUCCACCAUCUCAAACUUCACCAUAGUAAGCCUCUGUUCUUCCACCUUUCCCUUCUCUUGUUGCCCUCUCCACUGUUGCCUCUUCUAGGAGGCUCACGGCCACCUUCUUCUCCUUGGACUUCACCGUACUACCCUUGUCUUUCACUUCCCCCUCCUCCUCCUCCUUCGCCAACCACCAAUGCCUAUCACUCUUCCCCUCGUCUUCACCUUUUCCACCCAUCUCAAAUGACUAUAUCAUUGCCUGCUCCAUCCAGCCCUAUAGGCACCGAGGUCCACAACUAGGCCCCCGCAGCCGGUAGUUUUCAUGCGGCCGUGUCAUCCAAAAAACCUUCAUCUCCAUGCUCCUUGAGUGCUCGGACGUGGAACUUGCUCGUAAGUGUGACUUGAGUUGUAGUGCAACUUCAACUACAAGAAUCCGAAUAGCUCCGAAGAGUAGUUCACCACUCUACAUCUUGACCGUGAUGGUGCCUUCUCUCACCUCAAAGCAUCACUAUGCUGCAAAGAAUAUGCUUUUAGAGACUCACAUCGGGGUGGAUAUGUUGACCCCACCAAGGAUAUUUUGCUACCCUCGAUAUAUGUGCCAUCUUCUAUGGUUUAACAAUGAUUAUAGUGGCAUUGUCAAUCAAGACAACAUCCAAAUGGAGAUGAUCAUUGAUGCAGGAGCAUAAUCCAAGCUUUUGUGGCAUGUCAAGAUGAAGAUGUCAGCAUAUCAGGGGUAACUUAGAAUCUAAUUCUGAAGCUAUUUACGUAUAAUUAGCAAGCAUGCCAUACACCAUUGAAAAGCUCUAUCUCUAGUUUCCAACGCACCUGACCUCGUGCCAUUUGAAGAUUUCUAGAAAAAGUUAUGGUAUUUUUACUACAGGAUGUUAGGACUGGCAGCAUGCAGCGAAUUUCAAAGUGCAUUUACUUUGGUUCUUUUUCCAGCACAUAUUUUCAUUUUUCUAAGUAUCUUUUUAUAUUUCUAAAUAUUAGAACAUGAAUUAACGUGUUUCAGCAAUGUUCUAUCUUCCCUAUACUUGGAGGGAUGUUCCAAGAUAGCUUAUAAAAAAAAUAGUACAUGAAUGAAGAAAGGAGAGUUGUUGAUUGAGAAAAACUUUUCUUGCAAGUUUUUCUUGCUUUAGGAGUUGAGUGGCAUCCUUCUGCCAAUCAAGCAUGUGGCUUGGUCACGUCGAGUGGCCUCCGCUACCCCUGGUUGAGUGGCAUCCCAGAACUAUCCUUCUUCCCUUGGUUGAAUCCUUUUCGGGUUUGGCCAAGCCUUAAGGGUCUCGACCUGCAUCAAAUUGGUAUCAGAGCAAGUUUUCCUAUCGUGGUGAUCAGUUUUCUCUAUUGGGCUCCAUUAUUUCGAAUUUGCUCUAUCUCCUUUAUAUCUCCGGGUCCUUUACAAUGCCUUCACGAUGUCAAACGAAUAUGGAACGUGAUAAUGUACAAGCUGAACUUGCUGUAUUACGAGAUCUAAUCAAGCACUUACAGACAUGGUAAAUAAACUUUGUCAACGGUUUCAAGCUUCACCAACUCGAAGCUAUAGGAGUCAAGAAAGUGAACACAAUAUCUUCUUCAAUGACAACAGCCAUAAUGACCGUUCAUCUUCUUUCAGUUCUGUUCCAGAACCUAGUGUCACUGAUCAAUGGUCCAUGGAACGUUUGGCCCAUACAUUAGAAAAUACUGAUCGAAGCAUCCAAGUUCAUAUGCAAGACUUUGAUGGCAAACUUAAUGCUGAUGAAUAUUGUGAUUGGAUGGCAUCCUUAGAAGCUUUCUUUGAUUGGAAAGAUCUCACAGAUGAAAGAAAGGUACAGAUCGUUGCUACAAAGUUGAAAGGUCAUGCUCUAAUCUGGUAGCAACAAUAUCAGCGUAGUAGAGAUCGAAGAUGAAUUCCAAGAGUCAAUACCUGGGCUGAGAUGAAGUUGAAGUUUGAUGAGAAUUUCUUUCCUUGGAUUAUUCUCAAACCCUCUACCAAAAGUUCCAUCAAUUGCAUCAACGUGUAGAGCAAUCUGUUGGUGAUUAUACAGAGCAAUUUUACAAACUUAUGAGUCAUAUGAACUUGCAAGAAUCAGAUGAUCAACUGGUGGCAAGAUAUUUGAGUAGACUGAAAUAUAGCCUCAAAUGCGAGCUUAUGAUGCAUUCAUUUCAUUCUUUUGAGGAAGCAUAUCAAAAGGCAUUGAAGGUCGAAGAGAAAAUGAAAUGGAGUUCAUACCGAAAGGUUGAAAGUUCAAAAAUGGUGAAGGAGAAGGGUAAGAAGUUGGCUCCUAUCUCUGGAAAAACCAGCCCAAUAGCAAGGUGGAGGAAGUAAGGAGCGUGGGAAGUUUCAUUCAUCUUCCAAUAGAUGUUUCCGAUGUGGUGAAGUUGGGCAUAGAUCCUUUGAAUGUCCAAAAAAGAAAGCUGAACUGCAUCUCUUGGAAGAUGAAGAUGAAGAGCCAAUUUAUGAUGAGGAACCUGAGGCUAAUCUUGAUGAAGAAUAUUGUGAAGGUGAUUGUGAUGCGGAAAGCCUUGUAAUCCGAUGAGUGUUGAUUACUCAAGAAGAUGAUAGAUGGUUGAGGCAUAACAUUUUCAGAACCUAUUGUCUUUCCUAUGGAAAGAAGUGCAACUUAAUGAUUGACUCGGAAAGUUGUGAGAACAUGGUGUCAAAAAUAAUGGUAGAAAAGCUAAAACUUUCUUGUGAACCCCACCCAAAGCCUUACAAAGUCUCUUGGUUCAAAAGGGUGGAGAAAUCAUGGUGACUCAAAGGUGCAAGGUAAAGUUUUCCAUUGGCAAGUAUGAAGAUGAGAUUUAUUUUGAUGUGCUGCCCAUGAAUGCCUGUUAUUUGCUUCUUGGCAGACCAUGACAAUUUGAUAGGAGUGCUCAUCAUAAUGGAAGGAAGAACACUUACACUAUUUUCCACAAUGGAAUGAAGUAUGUACUGACCCCUAUGAAGGACAUUCCAGAUAGUGUGUCUUCUUCAAACCAGAUUAGUUUAUUAUCUUCCAGAUGAAGUUGAAGGCUUGCCGGACAGAUUCAAAGGCCUAACUCCUGAUGAACUUCCUGUUGAUGAACUUCCUGUUGAUUUACUACCACUUCGAGACAUUCAGCACUAGAUUGAUUUCGUUCCAGAUAUUAUUCUUUCUAAUUUGCCUCAUUAUAGAAUGUUUCCUAGUAAACAUGCUGAGUUACACAGACAAAUAAUUGAUUUAUUGAAAAAGGAGUUGAUUAGAGAAUCUCUUAGUUCUUGUGUUGUUCCUGCCUUAAGAAGGAUAAAACAUGAAAAAUGUGUUGAUGGUAGAGCUAUAAACAAUAUCACAAUCAAAUAUAGGUUUCCAUACCUAAACUUAUAUGCUUGAUGAGUUGGCUGGUGCAAAAUUGUUUUCUAUCAAAUCAAUCACUAAAUAUGAGAUGCGAGCUAUAUUGAUUAAUGGUGAUUCAAGCUGAUCUUUUGGAAUUUAUGCUGAAUUCUUUCCUAUAUAAAUUAUGAAACAUAAUGCGAAAACCAAGGGUUUGAGGCUUAGGAACGGAUGCCUCUGCUACAUAUAUGACAAAUCGGAGUACAAGAGGAGAACGAAUUAGGGGAUGCUGAAACCCACGGAAUCCUCGUUGUUAAUUUUUUUUUUUUCAAAGAAUUAUAAUAUUCUCUGUUCCGUCUUGAUUAAUAGCGUAUAGAGACAGAUUGAAGGGAGGAUUUGAUAAAAGGAACUUUAUUAUUAUUACCCAUCUACAAUUACAAGAGGAAAGCACUUAAAAGCGAAAGAUAGAGACAGAUUUAAGGGAGGAUUUCAUAAAGGAACUUUAUUAUUAUUACCCAAC